rnacentral:rRNA from 1 species
UCUGGGACAAGCCCUGGAAACGGGGUCUAAUACCGGAUAAUACCUUCUCCUGCAUGGGAGGGGGUUGAAAGCUCCGGCGGUGAAGGAUGAGCCCGCGGCCUAUCAUCUUGUUGGUGGGGUGAUGGCCUACCAAGGCGACGACGGGUAGCCGGCCUGAGAGGGCGACCGGCCACACUGGGACUGAGACACGGCCCAGACUCCUACGGGAGGCAGCAGUGGGGAAUAUUGCACAAUGGGCGAAAGCCUGAUGCAGCGACGCCGCGUGAGGGAUGACGGCCUUCGGGUUGUAAACCUCUUUCAGCAGGGAAGAAGCGCAAGUGACGGUACCUGCAGAAGAAGCACCGGCUAACUACGUGCCAGCAGCCGCGGUAAUACGUAGGGUGCGAGCGUUGUCCGGAAUUAUUGGGCGUAAAGAGCUCGUAGGCGGCUUGUCACGUCGGUUGUGAAAGCCCGGGGCUUAACCCCGGGUCUGCAGUCGAUACGGGCAGGCUAGAGUGUGGUAGGGGAGAUCGGAAUUCCUGGUGUAGCGGUGAAAUGCGCAGAUAUCAGGAGGAACACCGGUGGCGAAGGCGGAUCUCUGGGCCAUUACUGACGCUGAGGAGCGAAAGCGUGGGGAGCGAACAGGAUUAGAUACCCUGGUAGUCCACGCCGUAAACGUUGGGAACUAGGUGUUGGCGACAUUCCACGUCGUCGGUGCCGCAGCUAACGCAUUAAGUUCCCCGCCUGG